rnacentral:rRNA from 1 species
UGAGGAAUAUUGGUCAAUGGAUGCAAAUCUGAACCAGCCAAGUAGCGUGCAGGAUGACGGCCCUAUGGGUUGUAAACUGCUUUUAUGUGAGAAUAAAGUUAGGUAUGUAUACUUAUUUGCAUGUAUCACAUGAAUAAGGACCGGCUAAUUCCGUGCCAGCAGCCGCGGUAAUACGGAAGGUCCAGGCGUUAUCCGGAUUUAUUGGGUUUAAAGGGUGCGUAGGCCGUUUGAUAAGCGUGCUGUGAAAUAUAGUGGCUCAACCUCUAUCGUGCAGCGCGAACUGUCGAACUUGAGUGCGUAGUAGGUAGGCGGAAUUCGUGGUGUAGCGGUGAAAUGCUUAGAUAUCACGAAGAACUCCGAUUGCAAAGGCAGCUUACCGUAACGUUACUGACGCUUAAGCACGAAGGUGCGGGUAUCGAACAGGAUUAGAUACCCUGGUAGUCCGCACAGUAAACGAUGGAUGCUCGCUGUUGGCCUUUAAUGGUCAGUGGCUUAGCGAAAGCGUUAAGCAUCCCACCUGGGGAGUACGCCGGCAACGGUG